ensembl:lncRNA
CAAACACAUCCACCCCGUGCUUGACUGUUAAACUAAAGAGACAGUUUGCUGACAGGCUUUUCUACUGGUGAACUACAAGCCAACAAGGAAGAUUUAUGAAAAUAUGCUGUCUGUCGUCUCUUAUGUACUUUAAAAUUCCUCUUAAUGUGAAAGGAGGGAUGCAUGUGUUUGCGCCGUUCAAAACAAAAGUGAGAGUUCUUCACCGGAGCGUGUUUUGAUCUCGAGCAUUUUGACUUGUUCACUGAAACUUACCUCAGAUCGUCCCAGGUAACAUCUUUGAUCAGUAGGCUUCCUUCAGUUUUAUAGCAAUGUUGAAAUGAGAGCUGGUGACAGGAAUGUCAACAGCAGUUUGUUUCGCGCUACGCGGGAGAACAGUACCCUUCUCUGUUUCACCCCCGACCUAUCCGCCAAGAGCUCUAACCGUCUUCCACACUACACGUACGUGGACGCCAGACGGUAUUACUGUCAAUCUCCGAAGCAUUGUAGUGACGUGAGGAAUCAACCCCGAGACACCUCCGCAUUCUCCAAACCUACCUUCACCCAGCUGUCAGAAUGAAUAGGACAUUAGCAUGCCAUGACUAUGCCAAACCAUCACGAGAGAUGGGCCGUGGGGGGCUGGGGUGAAGGGGUUUGUGAAGGCACUUUGCCACACAAGUUGCCGGAGCGCUCUUGUAAUGAUACGCUUUCAUUCCAAAGUAUUCUCCCAAGCGCAGCUGGGAUCAGCUCCACUAUGCUGUAGUUUCUGUACGUUUUUGUGAUUUACACAGCAAAUAUAACUCAUUGGGUUAAUGGAUGGAAUAUUUUUCUCCUACAGCAAUCGGUCUUGACUUUAAAUCCUCAUUGGAGGUUAAUCUAUAGCUCUACCCCUUCCGUCUCUUCUAAGUCACUUAUGGUAAAUUAUGGCAUUGUGUAUGAAAAAUCCCCACUGUAUAGACCAAACCAUGAUAAAUCUUCAAGAACGUCCCCCUUCGCUUGGAAAAUAAAUGACCACCUCGUCUCCGAAUCCCUCCUGGAAGAAGAAAGACAACCUUCUGUAAUAAAUGUAAAUGAUGAAAGGAGGGGAAAAAAGUUUGCGUGUGGCAGAGGGAUUGAUUUUUGUGAUGAAUUAGUUAGUGCGCUUUCAACUGUCAAGCUGUUAAUUUAUGAGUGUGCAAACUUCCAAGUGUUUGGCUUGGCCGUUUAGCUCUGCCUCCCCUCAGCUCUCUGAGGUGACUGUAAAAUGAAAUAUGGAGGCAGUGUGUUACUGUUUUAUUUAUUUCACUGCCUGGAGCUUUCACACAGCUAUUUGUUCAAAUACUCCAGAGUGCCGUGGAGAGCUUGAUUCCUGCUCACAUUAAUAAAGAUAAUAUUUUGCAGACCGAGUAUAAUGGUCGAAAUGUCACCUCUCACAACACUCUCUCUCUGACCGUAACUUAACAGUCAUCCUUUUUAUUUGCUGGGCUUUUCUACCUGGUUUUAAGGUUUUUUUCUCAGUGUUUGCACAUAUAAGGUUGUCCAAAUGUCACCUAAAGUAAUUUGGAAUUUUAGUUGUCAAGGUGCUUUAUGGCUUAAGGUGCCAUUUCUCUUCUGUCAGUGCUCUAUUAAAGGGAUA